rnacentral:rRNA from 1 species
GUGUCAGCAGCCGCGGUAAUACGUAGGGUGCGAGCGUUAUCCGGAAUUAUUGGGCGUAAAGAGCUCGUAGGUGGCUUGGCAAGUCGGAUGUGAAACCUCCAGGCUUAACCUGGAGUCGCCAUUCGAUACUGCUAUGGCUAGAGUUUGGUAGGGGACCACGGAAUUCCUGGUGUAGCGGUGAAAUGCGCAGAUAUCAGGAGGAACACCAGCGGCGAAGGCGGUGGUCUGGGCCAAUACUGACGCUGAGGAGCGAAAGCGUGGGGAGCGAACAGGAUUAGAAACCCCGGUAGUCC